AUGAACGCUGGCGGCAGGCCUAACACAUGCAAGUCGAACGGAGUUAUAUUGUAGCUUGCUAUGGUAUAACUUAGUGGCAGACGGGUGAGUAAUGUAUAGGAAUCUACCUAGUAGUACGGAAUAAUUGUUGGAAACGGCAACUAAUACCGUAUACGCCCUACGGGGGAAAAAUUUAUUGCUAUUAGAUGAGCCUAUAUUAGAUUAGCUAGUUGGUGGAGUAAUAGCCUACCAAGGCAAUGAUCUAUAGCUGAUCUGAGAGGAUGAUCAGCCACACUGGAACUGAGAUACGGUCCAGACUCCUACGGGAGGCAGCAGUGGGGAAUAUUGGACAAUGGGCGAAAGCCUGAUCCAGCCAUGCCGCAUGAGUGAAGAAGGCCUUUGGGUUGUAAAGCUCUUUUAGUGAGGAAGAUAAUGACGGUACUCACAGAAGAAGUCCUGGCUAACUCCGUGCCAGCAGCCGCGGUAAUACGGAGAGGGCUAGCGUUAUUCGGAAUUAUUGGGCGUAAAGGGCGCGUAGGCGGAUUAGUAAGUUAAAAGUGAAAUCCCAAGGCUCAACCUUGG
rnacentral:rRNA from 1 species